rnacentral:tRNA from 1 species
GUGGUUGUAGCUCAGCUGGUUAGAGCGUCGGAUUGUGGUUCCGAAGGUCGUGGGUUCGAGCCCCAUCAUCCACCCCGCCA